CAGCAGCCGCGGGAAUACGUAGGGUGCAAGCGUUAAUCGGAAUUACUGGGCGUAAAGCGUGCGCAGGCGGUUAUAUAAGACAGAUGUGAAAUCCCCGGGCUCAACCUGGGAACUGCAUUUGUGACUGUAUAGCUAGAGUACGGCAGAGGGGGAUGGAAUUCCGCGUGUAGCAGUGAAAUGCGUAGAUAUGCGGAGGAACACCGAUGGCGAAGGCAAUCCCCUGGGCCUGCACUGACGCUCAUGCACGAAAGCGUGGGGAGCAAACAGGAUUAGAUACCCCCGUAGUCCCUGUCUCUUAUAC
rnacentral:rRNA from 1 species